AUGAAACUUUUUUGGCAAAAAUCAAUCCAUGGUUCUUAAAAGAAAUAUAUGGAGAAAGUGUGUGAAAGGGUCAUCAUAACGACCCUUCAUAAUCUACACCUUCAACAGUUUGCUUAAGCUUAGCCAUUGGCUUUCUCUGAUCAUUGAUCACAAGGAAUAUGGAGAAUCAAAAGCUAUCUUGUAAAGAGGUAUUAGUACUCCAUAGGAAGAGAAGCUUUGGCUAUAGCUUGGUAAACCGGCAAGUCACAAAAAGGCGACGGACUCCGUUAGGCGUCCU
rnacentral:sRNA from 1 species